CCUUCCCAGUAUAGGAGAGAGGGGAGAGUUGUGGGACUCUAACCAGAGGUGCCAGCCUUCUACUUGCUCCUCACCCAUGCACGGUCUCGAGGGGAUAGUGGAGUGUGUGAAGCAGAAGACUCACCAAGGGUAGACUGCAACCAUACACCUUUCAGGAGGCCGCCCCUGGGGCGAUUCACCUUCUCUUGAGUUACCCACACCUCACUCCCCCCAGUCCUGUAAGUCAGCCCAACGAGCUCACCAGCUGGAGCCAUUCCCUGGGUCUGCUACCAACAGACUUCCAGGUCUCCCCACGAAAACAACGGAACACGUCAAUCCCAGGUGGAGUGCACUGCUUUACGGUGAAGAGAACAAAUAGCUGAGGCACUGUCUUCACAUUGCAUCGUGUCUUCCAUUCUGUCUGAACAUGGUGGUAAUGAACUCAUCCUGUGCUCCGGUGUUCCCAGUUUCAGUUCCUGCACACCCGUUCUGUGUUACAUGGAUAAUGUUGGCCCUUUGAACCAUGCUAGCAUGUAUUCAUCAUAAUGACCUUAAAAGGUUGUGGUUCAGCUAGUCCAACAAUGGCUGUCUACCAACGGAAAGCCCAAGAAUCCAGUAGUUGUUCAGUCCAUGAGGCUGGAUGUCUCAGCUGGUCCUCAGUAUACACCAGAAUCCUAAAGAAGGAGGCCCUAAUACCCGUGAAGGAAUGGACUUGCCAGAGAGAGUGAGAGCAAGCAGGCUGCGAACAGAAGGCAAGGCCAAGGUUUAAGAGAAACAGUUUCAUCCCCUUGGGGCAUCAUCAUCACCUGGAGAACACGUCUUCUAGAUCAUACCUAAUGACCUGGUUUUGCCCAAAGCACCCACAAAUCCCUUCUAAUAGGUCUUUUAAUAAAAACCUGGGGCCAGCUAUUGGGGUAAAUGCUGAAAGAUCAGAGAGACAAAGGAACAAGACACAGGCACUUCUCACCUCGCCAACUC